UACGGGGGGGGUAAGCGUUGUUCGGAUUUACUGGGCGUAAAGGGCGCGUAGGCGGCGUGACAAGUCACUUGUGAAAUCUCCGGGCUUAACUCGGAACGGUCAAGUGAUACUGUCGUGCUAGAGUACAGAAGGGGCAACUGGAAUUCUCGGUGUAGCGGUGAAAUGCGUAGAUAUCGAGAGGAACACCUGCGGCGAAGGCGGGUUGCUGGGCUGAUACUGACGCUGAGGCGCGAAAGCCAGGGGAGCGAACGGG
rnacentral:rRNA from 1 species